CUGUCCUCAAACCUCCCUAACAGGCCAGAUUGUCAGGAUUACCUUGAGUGAGAGCAGACCACAAACACACUACACAAACCUCACUAGCAGCUGCUGGAUGACUUCAUCCUUGGAUAACCGCCAGUCUAAGGGUAGGAGAGUGCCGGGCCGUCAUGGUUGCCUUAAACAUCUGUUUCAGGGAAGGAGCCGGUAACCUGCAAUAUACACUACUUAUACAACCGAGGAAGGAAAGGAAAGGAAGAUACCAACGACUGAUA